ensembl:snRNA U6 U6 spliceosomal RNA
GUGCCCGCUUUGGCGGCAAGUACACUAAAACCAGAACGAUACGGGGAAGAUUAGCCUGCCCUUGCAGAGAAUGACGUGCAAAUUUGCGAAGAGUUUAAUUACAUA